GAACUCCCCGCGCCGCCCGGCCCCCGCCCCGCCCCCACCCGCGGCGCGAACCGCCUGUGGAAUCGAGGAACCGCGCUAGCGCGGGCGGGCGGACAGGCGGAACGCGAGGCUAGCGGGGAGGACCCGGAGCGCGGCGGGGGGCGGCGCGGGGACGGGGAGCCCGUCCGGAGGGAAACUGGGCCGCGCACCAGGAGGGAUCCUCGCCCGCGGCUUCUGCCGGCGGCCGGUGUCACCUCAGGACAGCGCCUCGCGCGCUGGCACCCUGCACGCCGCGGGCGGCCGGGGUGGUCCGAGGUCACCGCGCCUCGCGGCCGCUCUCGUCCCCACGCGCGCAACCUCCGGCCACCGGAGCGUCGCCGGUAGCCCGGGAGCGAAUGACCAGGCGUCCUGAAGGACACCCAGGGGAGCCGGGGCGUCCGCGAGCGACGCGACAGAUGGAGGUAGAAAUAAGUGGUACAUGGAGACCGAGCAACUCAGACGUGCAGAUUGCGAGGAAGCAUCUCGAAACCGGGGCCCCGGGGCGGCCUCCGAGAGCCGCCACCUGCCCGGCCCCGCGGACGCCGUCAGGAUCGCCGAAGUCGCAGGCCCUGGUCUCGCGUCCCCGAUCUGCCUUGUGAAUUUCCUUGCUUUUAGGGUCCAAGAAACUGGAGAUCGGGGUCCUGGACUCAGCGCCCUGGCCACUUCUGGCAUAACCGUGGACUCUCCGGGCUUGUUGAGGGUCCUCACCUGCAAAUUACUACCCCCCAGACCUUGGGAGGAUUAGGGCAGCGUUAACGAAGCUCAGCACCAGGCACGUUACUGGAAGCUUUGAGUAAAUGAGAUAAAAUGCCUUUUUCAAAA